UGCAAGUCGAACGGUAACGCGGAGAGAAGCUUGCUUCUCUCCGGCGACGAGUGGCGAACGGGUGAGUAAUACAUCGGAACGUGUCCGCUCGUGGGGGACAACCAGCCGAAAGGUUGGCUAAUACCGCAUGAGUUCUACGGAAGAAAGAGGGGGACCCGCAAGGGCCUCUCGCGAGCGGAGCGGCCGAUGACUGAUUAGUCGGUUGGUGAGGUAACGGCUCACCAAAGCAACGAUCAGUAGCUGGUCUGAGAGGACGACCAGCCACACUGGGACUGAGACACGGCCCAGACUCCUACGGGAGGCAGCAGUGGGGAAUUUUGGACAAUGGGCGCAAGCCUGAUCCAGCUAUUCCGCGUGUGGGAUGAAGGCCCUCGGGUUGUAAACCACUUUUGUAGAGAACGAAAAGACACCUUCGAAUAAAGGGUGUUGCUGACGGUACUCUAAGAAUAAGCACCGGCUAACUACGUGCCAGCAGCCGCGGUAAUACGUAGGGUUCGAGCGUUAAUCGGAAUUACUGGGCGUAAAGGGUGCGCAGGCGGUUGAGUAAGACAGAUGUGAAAUCC
rnacentral:rRNA from 1 species